rnacentral:sRNA from 1 species
GGGCCGCCGACGCCGAGUCCGGCCCUGCCACCAGGCACCCGGAGCCGGGGACCCACCAGCACCACCGGGGUGAAUCGGUCCUGCGCCCGUCAUCGACGGACGCCCGGACCGUAGGGCAAGCCUUCCGUCAGUAACCGCCCGAACCCGACAGCUAACCCGGUAGGCGGUUCACGGAAGGAGUU